CCCUUAGAUGUUCGGGGCCGCACGCGCGCUACACUGAAGGAAUCAGCACGUCUUUCUCCUUGUCCGAAAGGACUGGGUAACCCGCUGAACCUCCUUCGUGCUAGGGAUCGGGGCUUGUAAUUCUUCCCCAUGAACGAGGAAUUCCCAGUAAGCGCGAGUCAUAAGCUCGCGUUGAUUACGUCCCUGCCCUUUGUACACACCGCCCGUCGCUACUACCGAUUGGAUGGUUUAGUGAGAUCCUCGGAUUGGUCCCGGAGCGGCCUCUGGUCGUGCCGGAGUGCCGAAAAGAAUGUCGAACUUGAUCAUCUAGAGGAAGUAAAAGUCGUAACA
rnacentral:rRNA from 1 species